GGGAGGGAGGAAGAAAAGAAGGAAGGAAGGAAGGAAGGAAGGAAGGAAGGAAGGAAGGAAGGAAGGAAGGAAGGAAAGGAUAAUUGAGGAGUUAUAUAAUAUAAACCUUCACCCAGGCAACUGGGAGAAGGAAGAGAGCAUUUAGAAUUUGUGUGUAAUUUUCUUUUAAAUUCUGUACAUCUUCUUUCUUUUGCCUUCCUCCCCCCCCCCUUUCCAAAGACUCUUUUCCUGUUCCUUUCUCGGACUUGGAAGUGAGAUGGGAUGUGUGUGAAACCAGAUGGGAAAAAAGGAAGUCUGCCUGCUUGGGAAGAUUCGUUAACACUCAGCUCUUAAAUGGUUGUUUAAUUGUAACAAAAUUUAUGCUUUUCCCCCUUUUCAGCUUAAAGCCCUACGCUGGAACCAAGUUAACUUGCAGUUCUCCUCUCUUCCAUUUCCGUCCUCCAAGCCUCGCUGUUAAUCUGCCCUUCUGUUUUUCAGUACCUGUUUUGUACACCUCAAUGGGCCUGGCAAGGGUUAAAUCACUCUCCAGGAACUUCCUCGCCUUAUGAAUAAAAACAGCUUUAUCCAGAGGAUCGGAACAAGAACAACGGUCGGCAGCCGUCAGCUCUGGGCUGUUUGAACUAUCUCACCUUUUCUUCUAAUUCAGACAUUCAUUGGGCUCACAGGCUCCUUCCAGGAAACUUUUAAAAUCUGCGGAGGGAAGUUUAAAAACAAAGAUACAGGAGAAAAAAAAAAACCACCCGUUAUAUAGGUGUCGUACUUUACAGACGCCAAGACAGAUCGAAACCAUAACUAUUUAACAUCAAACCUCCACAAAGCAACUUUUUUCAGAAGUUUUCUCAGGCACCAAAUGGCAGGAAAAGGGAAAAAAAAUCUAAGGAGCACCUGCUGUCAUACACACCCAAUUCCACAUGGACCCUUGACCCAUCUACAUACAUAGUCUCAUCCUGCCGCCGAACUCUAUUACACCACCAGCCCAAAGGUCUCACGGAUCCCCCCCAGCGCUCCAGACUGAUCAUUCGCCAUGUAGACACAAACACUCGCCUUUUGUAUUUGUGAGAACGCAUCAACUUCUCUCCAGCCAAACCUCUCCCUCCCCAAAAUAAAAGGUUUUAUAAA